UACGUAGGGGGCUAGCGUUGUCCGGAAUCAUUGGGCGUAAAGCGCGUGUAGGCGGCCCGGUAAGUCCGCUGUGAAAGUCGGGGGCUCAACCCUCGGAUGCCGGUGGAUACUGUCGGGCUCGAGUACGGAAGAGGCGAGUGGAAUUCCUGGUGUAGCGGUGAAAUGCGCAGAUAUCAGGAAGAACACCCGUGGCUAAGGCGGUUCUCUAGUACGGUACUGACGCUGAGACGCGAAAGCGUGGGGAGCGAACAGG
rnacentral:rRNA from 1 species